GGUGUAGGUGGCUUUGUAAGUCAGAUGUGAAAGCCCAGGGCUUAACCCUGGAAGUGCAUUUGAUACUGCGAAGCUUGAGUGCCGGAGAGGUUAUUGGAAUUCCUGGUGUAGUGGUGAAAUACGUAGAUAUCAGGAGGAAUACCAGAGGCGAAGGCGGAUAACUGGCCGGACACUGACACUCAGACCCGAAAGCGUGGGGAUCAAACAG
rnacentral:rRNA from 1 species